rnacentral:rRNA from 1 species
AGAGUUGAUUAUGGCUCAGGAUGAACGCUAGCGACAGGCUAACACAUGCAAGUCGAGGGCGAGCACGGGAGUAGCAAUACAACUGGUGGCGACCGGCGCACGGGUGAGUAACGCGUAUGCAACCUACCUAUCAGAGGGGAAUAACCCGGCGAAAGUCGGACUAAUACCGCAUAAAACAGGGGCACCGCAUGGUGAUAUUUGUUAAAGAGAUUCGCUGAUAGAUGGGCAUGCGUUCCAUUAGGUAGUUGGUGAGGUAACGGCUCACCAAGCCGACGAUGGAUAGGGAACUGAGAGGUUGGUCCCCCACACUGGUACUGAGACACGGACCAGACUCCUACGGGAGGCAGCAGUGAGGAAUAUUGGUCAAUGGGCGGGAGCCUGAACCAGCCAAGUCGCCGUGAAGGAAGAAGGAUCUAUGGUUCGUAAACUUCUUUUGCAGGGGAAUAAAGUGCAGGACGUGUCCUGUUUUGUAUGUACCCUGAGAAUAAGGAUCGGCUAACUCCGUGCCAGCCGCCGC